rnacentral:rRNA from 1 species
AUGAAUGCGUACAAAGCUGCUCUGGUUACUGACAAGACAUCGCUCUUGCAGUUUUGGCUCCGACUCAUCCCAUCAGGCUUGAGCUUGCACUCCACUUUUCUGUGUUCUGCUAUGAGAUCUCGAACUCCCCUGACCAAUCCUGCAACCUUGCAAAACAGGUGUUACUAUCUGGAGGUGACUAGCAAAUUCAUCAUAGUUGCACUUGGCAGGAGGCAAUAUUCCACUGCCUCGAGCACACACAAAUGGUUAAUGCGCUCAAGUGGCUGUUCGUCUCUGGAAAGAAGAAAUGUCCGAAGAAGGACCAAUGCGGGUUAUUACAUGAUUUGGAUGUGCAAUGUUUUUGAAAAUAAAGGUUUCAAGCAUGGUUCACUUUUAACUGGCGAUAAUGCUCUCGAGUCAUAUCCUGAUCUUUGUCGGUUGUUCAUUUCAGUUCUGCGACUACUUCUCUUAUGGAUCUUAAGAGAACUCGAGGGAUAUCGUUUCGAACAAAGUUGGUCACUUGUUUCUCCAGAAAUUACGCUGUUGCAUAUUAUCAUACCUGCUGCAAAGGAACGAAAGUAG